CCCUGAGACUUUAAGUCUCCUGAAGGAACGUUGAAGACGACGACGUUGAUAGGCCGGGUGUGUAAGCGCAGCGAUGCGUUGAGCUAACCGGUACUAAUGAACCGUGAGGCUUAACCUUAC
rnacentral:rRNA from 1 species